rnacentral:rRNA from 1 species
AGCGAACGCUGGCGGCGUGCUUAACACAUGCAAGUCGAGUGCGCGUUUCCGUAGCAAUACGGAAAUGGCGCACGGCGCACGGGUGCGUAACACGUGGGUAAUCUGCCCUCUGAUGGGGAAUAACUCGCCGAAAGGCGAGCUAAUUCCGCAUAACAUUCCUUGGACUCCGGUCCGAGGAUUCAAAGGCGUAAGUCGUCGGAGGAGGAGCCCGCGCACGAUUAGCUAGUUGGUAGGGUAACGGCCUACCAAGGCUAUGAUCGUUAGCUGGUCUGAGAGGAUGGCCAGCCACACUGGAACUGAGACACGGUCCAGACUCMUACGGGAGGCAGCAGUGGGGAAUCUUGCACAAUGGGSGAAAGCCUGAYGCAGCGACGCCGCGUGGGGGAUGAAGCUUCUCGGAGUGUAAACCCCUU